UCUGUCUUUUGCUGGUUAUAGUCUGGUAGGGCAUAAACAUAUAAGCCAUCAAUAACUUAAGUGGAAACAAAAAUGGAAAACCUUGAGACUAUAAAAACAAAAAUUCCAGGUGACUGACAGAGAGGAGAGCUCCCUUUCUGAACAGACCUUGAACAGGCUCUGCCUUCCCCAACUGCCCAGAGGCAGAUCUCGUGGAAAACAUGCCACCUCAGCCCCUCUGUGACCCCACGAGAUGGCCAUCUCAGCUUCCAGAGUGUGCCACGCACCGCACACGUGCAGGAGUUUAGGGACCACGUGCCCCUCCUCCUCCACCCCUCCUUGCCUGUCCUAGGUCCUGUCUCUAAUGCUAUUUCUGUUUUCAAUAAUAUUUUCAGUUCUUCCGUGGAACGCUGUGGUAAAAAUGAAAAAAAAAAAAAAGUAUUCUUACUUCGACAAGGACAAACAGGCAGGUCAGAAUUCAGGCCUGAAGAGCUCCAGAGGGAAAUCAGCCAUCCAUUCUGUGCCUUUUGGAGAUGGUGGCUCUUGCCUCAUAAGUCCAGAAACUUUCCAAUCUGAACCAAGACCCCAGGGAAGCGCACCACUAGAUAGAGGCUCCACCCCAGGCUGGGAGGCACACAAGAGCCUGUCUCCAACAACUACAUUUUCAAAAUGACAGUUAAGGCAGUGGGAGCCAGGCAUGGGGUGGAAGAAUAGUUUUGUCUCUCCCAGCAAUGCUUCUUAACUCUACAGUUAAAUUUUCGUAGUCCCUUAUACCACAAGAAUCACUGACAAGCCACUUCAAUGCCUGUCAUCUUUCCGGAGUUUGUGAGUCGCCCUGGAUAGGCUGCCGCUGCCCCCUGAGAGCCAAUGGCUGGGCUCUAAAACUGGGCACAAGGUGAGUGUCCUGGAGCUAGCCUUUAGCAAGCCAUUGAUAAACCAACUCCAGAGCCCUGUCUACUGAGGAGAGCGGCAUUGAAAGUGAGGCUUCAUUUCCAGGCAUGGCCUGCCACCGGCACUACAUGGACAACGUUUACUAAUCCUAUUUCAUCCGUUCAGCCCUUUGGACUAGUGCUGUUGGGGAGUGUUUGGCUUGACUCCAGUCAAGUUAAAAUUCCUGCCUCUUUGGGAAUAUGGCUUUAUACCCAUAAAGCCAGAUUAAUACAGGGCCCAUGAGUCAGCUCACUGCUCUGCCAGCCAGUAAAUAUCUCAGAUAGAAUGGGAAUUACCGUGAAAACACGAUUUCUCUUUUCAUCUAUGGGAGAUGACGGAAUCUGUAGAAGGUGGAAUCUUGGGCUGGAGAGAUGGCUCAGCAGUGCAGAACACUUGUUGGUAUUCCAGAGGACCCAGCUUAGUUCCCACAUGAUUGUUCACACCAUCUGUAUCUCACCCCCAAUGCAGAGGACCCACCUUGCGCACUGCAUGCAUGUGGUGCACAUACAUACAUACAUACAGGCAAAAGUUUCAUAUACAUAAAUGAAAAUAAUCUGUUUUAAAAGAUAAUUAAAAAUUUUAAAGAGGGUGGAGGCGGCGCACACCUUUAUUCCUAGCACUUGUGAGGCAGAGGCAGGCAGAUCUCUGAGAUGGAGGCCAGUCUGGUACAGAAUGAGUUCCAGGACAGCCAGAGCUACACAGAGAAGGUAGACUUUUGUGGGAGGUCUUCAGCCAUUAGAGGCAUGCCCCUGAAGGGGAUUUAAGACCCUAGCCCCUGCUCUUCCUCUCUUUUGCUUCCCGGAUGCCUUAAGGUAAACAGCGUGUCCCCACCUUGAUACACCAUGCUGCCACUGUCCAGAGCAACAUGGGCCACCCCUGAAACCGUGAGCCAAAACAAACCUUCCUUUUAAAGUUGAUUUGCCGCGGGCAUUUGUUGCGCUAUUGGAAAGCUGACGGAGGCAGACCCGGUGAGCCCUCACCGUCCUGACACAUAACAGUUCCCACUCCUACUGUGUACCACACCAGACCGUUUGCCCCCAGCACUGGCUUACCACAUCCCAACACUUGUUGGUGGAAUUAAUUCGUGAUUCAAGAAAUAAAUAUAUAUUAUAUUUAAUAUAUAUUAAUGAUCGAUAUAUUUAAUAUAUUUAUAUAUAAUUUAAUAUAUAAUAAUGAUUCAAUAUAUAAAUGUUUUAUAUAUAUAGACUUGGAACACACCAUCUUGGACUGAACUUCGGUUUCUAUAUCUCAAUCUAAUUAGAAGUUUCUGGGAGUUCACUAAUAAUCAUGACGGUCCUUCUUGGGGUUGAGUGACUUGGAGGCCUUCCCUGGAGUAGGCUCCAGCUCCAUUUCCGAAGGCACACCUUCUGUCUUCCCUCUUCCCACCCCUGACAUGGCUAUGAUCAUCUAAGGUGUCUGCUCUGGGUGCUUGGGUUCUCCGAAGGUCCACCCCACCCCUUCAGGGCCCUCGCUGGCUGGGAUGCAGGUGAUUAGCCUCCCUCAUCACUAGAGGGCGAGCUUAACAUAAAACACGAUGAGAUCCUCCUGACAACUACCCAAAGCUGGGUGCUUUGGUGAGGCAAUCAGGACACUCAGUUCCACCUGGAGAGUAGGUGUAACCCGGGGUGCUCAGGUCAGUUCCGUGGCACCAGCUUCCUCCCGCAGUGACGACACACCAGGGCAGCACAGCCUGAACAGGGGAAUCCUUUCACCCCAGCGCUGUUUAUAGCACACCCCUCUGGGGUCGGGACAAGGCCCCGCAAACAACUGCGCAUGGCAUGUUCAGGAGCAGAGUUCCAGAUAUUUCUCCGUGAGGCCCCACAGCAGCUCCCCCGCCAUUCAGUGAGUCACGUCUGCACAGGUCUAGACCUCAACCCUGGGGUGUGGGUCGGGAGCCUGUGCUCUCUCAGCCCUCGGGUUGGUUUUCACACCUGCUUUUCUUGUGUUCCUUAGGGUUUUCAGUGUUUUCCCAGCUAAUCCUUCCCCUGUCACAGUGAUUCCUCAAAUGAAACUGUAUAAAUGCAUGGUGUCUUUCUCUCGGCGGGUACAGAUAUGCAAGCCGACUUGUGUCAACACACCAGAGACAGAAUGCACUCCUGGUUUUUGUUUUGUUUUGUUUUUGUUUUUGUUUGGUUUGGCUUGGUUUUUCGAGACAGGGUUUCUCUGUGUAGUUUUGGUGCAUGUCCUGGAACUCUGUAGACCAGGCUGGCCUCGAACUCACAGAGAUCCCCCUGACUCUGCCUCCUGAGUGCUGGGAUUAAAGUCAUGCACCACCGCCGCCCAGCCAGAAUGCACUCUUCAUCUCCUUUACAACACCUGGCUAUUUAAGGGUCAACUCAGUGGUCUAGAUGAGCUCUGGGCAGGGGAUGUGAACGUGUAGAGGUGGCCUUUCUUGCCCAUCCACUGGAAGACAGCAGUUACUGCUCCUCUCACCCCAAGAACCACCCCUCACACUUCCCACCGGGCAGCCGGUUCAAACGCUGGCAGAGAUUCUGCCCAGAAGGCACCCAGAACCCAUCUCACCCCUACCCCUAACUAGAACUGAAGGGAUGUGAGAUUUGAGAACCAGUCAUCGUGACAUCUUUGCCAAAGGGUCCCACAUGUGACAAAGGCCAAAAUGAGACCAGGCAAUGCCGUCGCUGAGUCUGUCAGCCAGCUAUCCAUUAUCGUAACAAGUGCCUGCGACAAAUGAUCUUGGAAAGAAGGAAGGUUUAUUUGGCUCAUGUGUUUUUUGUUUUGUUUUUUAAUAUUUGCAGUUUUCCUAACUAGUUUUCCUAACAGUUUUCCUUCUUUUUACUUUCUUUCUUGGAUUUAUUUAAUUAUUAUGUACGCAGUGUUCUGCCUGCACAUAUGCCUGCAGACCAGAGGGGGCACCAGAUCUCAUUAUAGAUGGUUGUGAGCCAGCAUGUGGGUGCUGGGAAUUGAACUCAGGACCUCUGGAAGAGCAGCCAGUGUUCAUAACCGCUGAGCCAUCUCUCCAGCCCUUGUGAUUUUGAGGUUCAGUUCAUGAUCAGUUUGCCUGGACAUGGACAUGGGAUGGAACAGUAGAUCCUGGUGGGAGCACAUUGCACAGAGGCCUCUUUACCUCGUGGCCAGGUAUGAAGAAAACUCAAAGAGGAAAGGGUGGGGUCCCACUAGCCAUCUUUUCCCUCCUGCCUUGCCUUGUCUUGCCUUGCCUUUCUUUCUAAACAUGUGCUUCUGUUUGUGUGUAUGUGAGUGUCUCUGUGUGAGUGUGGGCACACCCUCACAAGCCAGAUGAAGACAACUUUCAGGAGUCUGUUCAUCUCUUUCCACCUUGGGUUCCAGGGUUGAACUCCGGUCACUGGGCUUUUUCGGCAAGUACUUUGCCUGCUGACCACCCCUCACCAGCCUUCCCACAAUCCCUUGCAAGGACACAUGCAGACCUCUCACUAGGUCCCAACUCGCAUAGGUUUUGUCAUUACCCAGGACCUCAAAACUGGGGACCAAGAUUUUAACACAUAACUUUCUUGGAAUAUUCAAGAUCCACACUAUAGCAAAGCCCCGAAAAAUUUCAGGUGGUGUAAAUCCUUUCUCCCUAGAGAAGCUUGUGAGUAUGCCUCUAACUCCGACUGAUGUAGGCUUCCGCCUCUAGCAAGUGAAGAGACCUAAUGGAUGCCACUAGAACCGAUUGUUGGUCUGUUUUCAUUUUGAUUUUUUAUUUUAUAUGAGGUUCAUGUAACCCAGGUCAGUUUCAAACUCCCUGUGUAGCAAAGGUGGGCCUCCAACUUCUGAUCCCCCUGCUUCUGUCUCCCAAGCACUGGAAUUGUAAGCCUGUCACUACCACACCUGACUUAAACCAGUUCUUGGUGAAUUAUUACACUCUGGGUAGCUGGAAAGAAACAAAAACAUUUUCUUUUUAUAUUUUUUUCUGUACAUGUGUGCAUGUGUUCACAUUCGUGUGUGUGUGUGUGUGUGUGUGUGUGUGUGUGUGUGUGUGUGUGUGUGUGCCUUGUGUGGAAGCCAGAAGACAACCUAAGCUGUUGUUACUGGGGAGCAGUAUACUUACUUUUUGAGCCGGAGUCCCUCUCUCUCUGGCCUAAGACCCAACAAAUAGGCUAGGCUGGCCAGCCCAUGAGCACUGUGGAUCUUCCUGUCUCUGCCUCCCCCUAUGCUGGGAUUACAAAAGCAUGACAUAGUAUCGGAUUUUUUUUUUUUUUUUGAUUUUUCGAGACAGAGUUUCUCUGUGUAGCUUUGUGCCUUUCCUGGAAUUCGCUCUGUAGACCAGGCUGGCCUCGAACUCACAGAGAUCCACCUGCCUCUGCCUCCUGAGUGCUGGGAUUAAAGGCGUGCGCCACCACUGCCCAGUCAUAGUAUAGGAUUUUAAACAUGGGUUCUGGGGAACAAAUUCAGGUCCUUGUGUUUGCAAGGCAAAUACUGUACUACCUGAGCCAUCUCCCCAGCCCCUCAACAUUUUUCUUUCUAUUUUUUUAAUUAAAAUUUAUGACAAAUUGCAAAUUAAAAAAAAUCAUGCGGCAAAACAUCUUCAAAGCAGACAGAACUCUUAGGCUGUCUAUCUAGUUUAAGGCAGUUUCUAUUUUUAAAAGGCUCAGAUCAGAAUAACUUUAGGUCUUUCUCUGGCUGGGAGAGAGAAGUCAUGACACCUCUGCUGGUUUCUAUGACAACCACCAACAGCUAUGAUAAUGCCAAUAAAAGAACCAGGGGACUUGGUCAUUUUACCACAUUGUGUGUAUGUGCAGCCAGAUGGGAGCUGACGUGUUACGAAGGCAAAUGCACAAUCCACUUAACCCACCUGUUGUGUCUCCAUUUUCCAGGGGAUUGUGGGUGGGUUAGCAAAGGGUAAGGCCAGGCCUUCACGCUCGCCUUCAUGGGUUCUGCAGAUGCAUUUUUUCUGUCACUGGGAAGAGAUUACUUGAUGACCUACUUCCAGUUAUACAAGUUAGACUGUCAUGAUUCCAGAGGGUGGUGGCUCGAAAUAGCCCCGUGCAUUCGUGCUCAGUGGCACAAGUUGCUUUCCCACAAAGAAGUUGAUUCCAAAGGCCAGGCAUGGGAUGAGGCUCACUCUCAAGCAUGCAUGCCGCAGACUGCAGGUUCCAGGCUUGAGACGGACGGGCACAGAGGUCUCUGUCUUUCACUUUAGCUUCUCGUGUCCUUUUUCUGGGAUCUUCCAGAAAUGUCUCACUUCGUGAUGACACAUCACACAGGGCACAGGGCAUAGGGCAAGGACCACAGUGCCGUCUUCUCACACUGCCUGAAACACGGCUUUCAGAAUGCUCAGCUGAGGCUCUUUCACAGCACAGUAGGAAUUCAGGACUGGAGGGAGAUAGCCCAGGUUCACAGAGAGAGAUUGCCUAGCAUCUGUGAAGCCCUGGGUUUGAUGCCCAUGCACAUUUCUGGGCAAGGUGAUACAGGGCUACCCCAGCAGUUGGGGGUAGGGCAGAGGGUCAGAAAUUCAAGGUCAUUCUUGGUGAGUUCAAAGCCAGCCUGGGUUAUAGGAGACCCUGUCUGGGAAAACAAACGACCCCCAACCCCCAGCCCCAGCUGGAACACCUGAGAGCAGGGUGUGGUGGUUUGAAAAAGUGUCCCCUAUAGACCCAUGUAUUUUAACACUUGACCCCAAGUUCGUAGCUAUUUGGGGAGGUUAUGGAACUUUCAGGAUGUAGAUCCUUGCUGGAGGAAGGGCAUCAGUUUGUAGCUGCACCCCACUUCCAGUUCUCUCUACUUCUCUCUGCUGCCGUGACAGACAACUAACUAAUCCUCCGGAACCACAAGGCAAAAAGAAAACGACGACAACCUUCUUUCUUCUGUAACUUGCUCUCAGUUGUGGCCUUUGGUCACAGCAACAGAAAAGUACUAACACACAGGAGAAAGGUCUUCCUCUCAGUCUGUGUGCAGAGGACGGCCAGUCGAGACUUGCCUCUAAAUGCUCUCCUUCUCCAUUAUUACUAGCCACAGGUCCACUCUAGUCACAGGAGUAUCUCAGGAAAGUAAACAUUCCAGAAUUUAUAGGCCUAGAGUAAUAGUUUCUCCAGGAUCGGCCUGAUGGGCGGAUGUGUCAAGGCAUGUAUAUUUCUGUCUGUGUGUUGGCAGAGAUUUGUUUAUUCUGUGCUUUCUGUGUGCUGGACUCAGCGCUAGGCAACAUGAUCCAUGACCUCUUGAUAUUUAAAUUUUUGUGGCAACAAGGCCAACAAGCACCAUUCCUGAGGAACACAGCAGGCUACAUGUUUGGGCUGUCUCUUGGUAGCAAGGGCUGCUUGAGUUAAGCUGGGAAAAACACUAGUUGAGUCCCACUGUGUUCCAGCCCUGGUGACAACUGUUACCUGACUUAAGUUCAUGCCAGUCUAUGAGGUCGUACAACCUUACAUAAGAACUGAAGCAGCUCCGUGAGAUUCGGGGACAUCCCACAGGCACACACUCAGAAAGUGGCUGAGUCAGAAAAUGAACUCAGACUUUUGUGCCCUAAUUCCUGCAAAAUACAUCCUCCGGAACAGAACAAGAGUUAACUCUGCCUUCCAGCUCAGAGUCUGCGAAUGGUAUGACCAAGGUCACUGAAAUCGCCUCAGGUUGAGCUAGUACUAAACGUAGGUCUGUCCAGCCCCUGCUCUCCCGCAUCUCCUCAGCUCAUUACAGCCUGUCCCCUCACUGUUCUUUCCUUAUGCCGGAUGAUAGCCGUCACCAGUGGCAUUGCCCAUGAAGUGGCAUCGUGACUGUCGCUUUCGGGGUAGCGAAGCAAGUGGAGUAACUGAUUCUUACUUCUGAGGUCCUUACAGAGCUGACCCUGGUACAGACUGAGAAACUGAGGCCACCCUUUGCCUUGGUUUGGCUGUUCCUGACCUACACUCCGUCUCACUAUACAACAGACCUUCCCUCAAGCCCUGAGCUUCCUGUCUCCAGCUCCACCCAGACUGGCGGUCCCAAGCAAGCGGUCAGAAAACCAGGGUUCACUUUUGCCAGUUUCUAUUUCUUGGCUGUUGGUAGCACUCAAUGUGUGUAGGACAGAGGGGGGAAUUUGUGAACAAAACAGCCCUGGGGGCAUGUGCUUCUUGCCCACUACAGGAAGGAGAUAGGAGCAUUCAUGCUGGCCUUUGAGCCCUGUGGCGCCUCCUUCUAUCAGUUCUGUUCCUCUAGAGAACCCUGACUAAUACAGAUGCUCAGGUACCUCAGAGAGGAGCGGUAAACAGACAGAAAAUUUGCACAUUAAUAUUGAUUGCUAGGUAUUAGUAAGCACUUUACAAUGUCUUCCAUGGGGUGCUUGCACGUCUCCCAUGCCAGGCAUGCGCAAUUCAGUGGCUGAGCAGGAAGAGGAACAUUAUCCGCUGCUGUCCAUGCUUACACUGUAUUCCUUUGUCCCUCAUACAUUAACACAAAUGGGCAAAACAGCAAAAAAGGCAAAACUGGCCUUUUGUGUUUGGCUAAUGCUUCUGCUGGUCCAAACAGUGUUCCGCAAGAAGCGGUGGUGUACACCUCUGAUCCCAGUAUUCAGUGGGCUGAGACAGAAAACUGGGAAGAGAAUUCGAAGCCAGCCUGGACUACAUGGUGAGAAUGGUCUUGAUGAGGAGGGGUCACGGGAGGAAGGAAAUGGACAGGAGGAGGAGAGGAGGAAGACAAAGAAAAGCGUAGUUUACAAAGUUGACCUCUCCAAGAGAGUGAACCAGACGUCAUCCGUGUCCUGAACCAGGCUUCAAAGGAGCCUUAUGCUCAAGACACAGCGGGGCACAGUCACUGCAUCUAAUCAAGGUGGUGGGAAGGGUUAUCAGAGUGCCCAGGGGCCUUUGUAUUGGGAAGUGUGUGUGCCAAGGAAACCACACAGUCUUUGGGCAAGAAGAACCAAAGAGCUCCACCUAGUGACUUACUGAGUUCUUCUCGUGAUAAAACCAGACCCAGGAAAGCAAGACUCCUCUUCACAGACGAGCCCAAAAAAAGAACUGUGCAAAUAAAACACAAACCCCAAACCACUCCACACAGGACCUCCAACACAUGUAAAUCCAAGUUUUUUAUAUAUAAAUAAUUAAAAUAUUUUAUGCGAAAAGUUUUAUGUUCAUAAAACUAUACUGGCAAGUAAAUAAUUUUCAUUAAUUUAGGAACCACAGCCCUCACCCCAUGACACUUUCUGUAUCGAUGUCAUCACUUUUUGUAGGCCAUAUCACCCAUAUGAUCGUGGGAUGUGCAUCAUUUGAAAUGUUCAUUACAAUAUUUAGGUUUUUACAAUUCUUACAAACACUUAGGGUUUUGUAUGCAUUCGUGUUAAAUUCAUGUAACACACAGGGAAAAAUUAAUAAAAAACUAUUUGGGAAAUGAAGCAUUCAUUUGAUGGGUGAUAUCGUUCUGUAUGCUGUGAAUGUGUUGCUCUGAUUGGUUGAUAAAUAAAAUGCUGAUUGGCCAGUAACCAGGCAGGAAGUAUAGGUGGGAUGAGCAGACAAAGAGAAUUCUGGGAAGAGGAAGGGCAGAGUUAGGAGUCGCCAGCCAGACACAGAGGAAGCAAGAUGUGAAGGCAGAACUGAGAAAAGGGUCUCUCGGUGAACCUGGAGCUCUCUGAUUCGGCCUGAGUGGCCGGCUAGCAAGCCCUAGUUAUCCUCCUGUCUCUACCUUUCCAAAGCAGUGGCCAGCCAUGGGGGUUGGAAUCUAACUCCAGUCCUCAUGCUUACACACAAGCCUUUUACUGGCAGAGACUCUCCCUCGACCCCGAGUACCUGUAGUUUUCAUCUGGCCCAGCUGGCUAGUGCCAACCAUGCUACCAGUCUUUUCUUCCUUUAUUUUUUACUCCCUGUUACAAUCUGACAAUAACCAGCCAGGUGUCUGUUUCUCCUUUCUCCCCUAGGCCGAUGAGCAAGCUUCUCUCCUUCUCCCUUGAUCUACCAUGUAGCUCUUUGUCCACAUCUGGUGCUAUGUUAUUGCUUUCUACACUCGUUGGGCAGAGAACCUUUGCUCAGAAUCACUGACUUUAUUUAAACUUUUGAUUUUUUUGUUCAUUGUGAUUUUUAAAAAUGUUUACUUAAAAUAGUUAUUAUCUCAA